rnacentral:sRNA from 1 species
AUGACAAAUUGUUUUCUCACAGAUGAUAUUCAUCAAAGAUGAUAUCCAUUAUGGCCAAGAAAACAUAAGGGGUUCCAUUUAUUUCCCAAAUAGAAUCAAUGGUUUACGUAGAAAUUAGAAAAGCUGACUAGUGAGCGAAGAAUUCGACUACGACAAAGGAGGCAAGGGUGUAUCCAAGGACUGCAUCGAAGUUGGUGGAGUUCAAAUCAAAGGCGAAGUCGCGAGCUGAUGUUCAAAUUCCUGAUUUUCUGUAAUGGUGAAAUUUAUUACGCAACUUCAUUACUUGCAAAAUUUUGUUGAGUCAACAUUCAAUGCCCUUCCUUCGAAUCAAGUUAAAGGUAGGAUCGUACUCGAAGAAGUUUGUGAAGGGCCAAUGGGACAAGGAUUGCAGAAAUACAAGGCUUGCCUCUCAAGAUUGUAUUAAUUUCCCUUUGACUGGAAAUUUGGGGUUUCUUCAGGUUUUUGCUCCCCAGACAAUGAUAGGCGAAUCAUUGCAAGUAGUAGUAAUUAUGCUGCAAACUGAAUCCAGGAUGACUAACCUGGAGUUGUCAUGGUGGUCACACCUUUCCUCCUCUUUGCUUCUCCUCCAAAACCCCUCUUUCAGGACCUAGGAAACAAGUAGCAAUGCAGAGGCACUGUUGGAGUGAUGGUGGACCUUUGUUAAAUCACAGUCCAGUGAAAGGAUUAGCCCGUCUGACUUUGUGUUUUAGAUGAAUCCGUUUUGGAUUGGGAGAAAAUAUAAACCCAGAAAAAGUUGGGUUUGUUGGAGAGUUGUCCGACAGAUUUCAGUUUUUGUGUGGAUGCAAGUAGGGGUGGGCAUGGGCCGGGCCGAGCCCAAAUUUGGAGGAAUCUAACCCUACUUGUUCUAAACUGUUACAGGAUGGGCCAAGCCCGGUAAAGAGAUUUUGAGUUUUGGAACCGGACCUAACCCA